rnacentral:rRNA from 1 species
AUUGAACGCUGGCGGCAGGCCUAACACAUGCAAGUCGAGCGGAGCGGCGGACGGGUGAGUAACGCAUAGGAAUCUGCCUGGUAGUGGGGGAUAACGUCCGGACACGGGAGCUAAUAUCGCAUACUACCAGAUGAGCCUAGGUCGGAUUGGCUCGUUGGUGGGGUAAAGGCCUACCAAGGCGACGAUCCGUAACUGGUCUGAGAGGAUGAUCAGUAACACUGGAACUGAGACACGGUCCAGACUCCUACGGGAGGCAGCAGUGGGGAAUAUUGUGCAAUGGGCUGAAGCCUGACCCAGCCAUGCAGCGUGUGUGAAGAAGGUCUUCGGAUUGUAAAGCACUUUAAGUUGGGAGGCGUUACCAACAGAAUAAGCGCCGGCUAACUUCGUGCCAGCAGCCGCGGUAAUUC